AUUGAACGCUGGCGGUAUGCUUAACACAUGCAAGUCGAACGGUAGCAGGCCUUCGGGCGCUGACGAGUGGCGGACGGGUGAGUAACGCGUAGGAAUCUGCCUCAUAGUGGGGGACAACGUGGGGAAACUCACGCUAAUACCGCAUACGCCCUACGGGGAAAGCGGGGGAUCUUCGGACCUCGCGCUAUGAGAUGAGCCUGCGUUAGAUCAGCUAGUUGGUAGGGUAAAGGCCUACCAAGGCGACGAUCUAUAGCUGGUCUGAGAGGACGAUCAGCCACACUGGGACUGAGACACGGCCCAGACUCCUACGGGAGGCAGCAGUGGGGAAUAUUGGACAAUGGGCGCAAGCCUGAUCCAGCAAUACCGCGUGUGUGAAGAAGGCCUUAGGGUUGUAAAGCACUUUCAAUUGGGAGGAAAACCUGUCGGUCAAUACCGGCAGCUUGACAUUACCUUUAGAAGAAGCACCGGCUAACUCCGUGCCAGCAG
rnacentral:rRNA from 1 species